rnacentral:rRNA from 1 species
UACAGAGGGUGCGAGCGUUAAUCGGAAUUACUGGGCGUAAAGGGCUCGUAGGCGGCCAACUAAGUCAAACGUGAAAUCCCUCAGCUUAACUGGGGAACUGCGUCUGAUACUGGAUGGCUUGGAUUCGGGAGAGGAAUGCGGAAUUCCAGGUGUAGCGGUGAAAUGCGCAGAUAUCGGGAGGAACACCAGUAGCGAAGGCGGCUCGCUGGGCCACACCUGACGCUGAGGAGCGAAAGCAUGGGGAGCGAACAGG